UCGUUGUUCUCUUUGUCUGCACAACACAAUGAACGCACUGAAAAUAUCAAGCAUUCACAUAUUAAUAUUGUUAAAGUGAAAUUAGCUGUUCGCUCAAAUAAAAUUCAAACUAAAUAAUAUAUAUUUCUAUGUUAAAAACAAAUGUGGCUAUGCAGCCAUAGUGAAUAAAAUUCGAUAAAAUUCAUAAAAACGUUACUCUUCUUUUCAUUAGCUUUAACUCAGCCCAUGCAGUAUUUUGAUUAUUCACCAAACAGUCCAAUUCAACAUGAAUUCAAAUUUACAAAUGCAAUCGAUUGAUUCAGUUGAACAAUGUGAAGACAACACUUCGAAUAAGGAUUCAAAUAACUACUCGGAACAACUAAUACCAGCAUAUGAUUCACCAAAAAAUAUCUUAAAUAUUCUCAACGACCAUUGUAUUCAAGAAAUUUUCACUCAUUUGUCUGUCAGGUUCCAUUUUCUGAAUGUUGCCGAGGUGUGUAAAAAAUUCCAAGAAAACGUCAUAAAAUGCUUUCCUGAGCACUUAAAAAAAACCGAAUUUUAUAGUUCAAAUUUUCGUGGUAUGCAUCCAAAUCGUACAUCAAGCUUUUUAAGAAUAUUUGGUCACUUGAUUAAGGAGAUCAACUUGGACUAUUGUCCAAUUAGAAGUAAAAUAACACCUUCCGACUAUCAUCGUCUUGGUCAUUUCGAAUUGAUCACUAGCUACUGCACUAAAAAUUUAAUCGAAUUGAAAAUUGAGAACUCAAACGAUGUGGACCUUAACCUAGACAUCAACAUAACAAAAAGUUCACAGUUCCAAGUUUUGGAAAAGCUAUCAAUCAAAAAUUGUACGCUUACUAAGUUUGGAACUUUUCCAAAAUUGAAAGAUUUGAGUUUAUUUGAGGUCAAACUUGAGAAUUGCGAUUGGCUGACAAGUAGAUUUCCGCAAUUAGAAAAACUUUACGUACACAGAGUGAGAGGGUUGAACCAUGAAUUGUUCGUUGAAUUUCAAAAGAAUAAUCCAAAGCUAAAAAAUAUGACUAUCGCACAAUCAAUAUCUUCCUUCAUUUUUCGGAAUAUUGAAGUUCGACUACCAAAUCUGGAAAAAUUAACGUAUAGCUCUGGGAGUUUUGUUGAUAAAACACCCGAGUGAAAAAUGGCAUUGAAUUUUUCAAUGCGUAGUGUCAAACGGCAUUUAAGCAAUAAAUCGACACCGCAUGGCUAUAGCGAUGUGGUGUAUGCACUCAACGUGCGCACGGACCAUGCGGUCUCGAUUUAUUGCUUAAAUGCCGUUUGACACUACGCAUUGAAAAAUUCAAUGCCAUUUUUCACUCGGGCAGUUGAAGAAAGUCAAUUUCAAGCUGACGAUAUGAUGCAUGUGAGCAAUUUGACGAAAUUGACAUUCUUGAGAAUUUUCAAUCGGAAUAUAUCAGCGAGAGCACUCAUCGAGUUAAUUAUUCAAAAAAAGAGGCCGAUUAGACUAAUAAAUGUAAACUAUUUCUAUGAUUUUGAAAUCAUGUCGAGAUUAAACGAGCUAGAGCAUUUGCAGCCUGGCGCUUAUUUUCCAAAGGAAUCAGCAAUAAGCAUUGUUCGAAAUGUGCCUACUUUGAAAUCAAUUCAAUCAGUACAAUAAUACAAAAAUUAUUGGAUGCGUAUUAAAAAAUAAAUGAUAAGGGAUUGAACUGACUUCUUCAAGACUUCCUUUGAAUCGUUUGAGUUGCAUUUCUCAAUGUUGCUUACGAUGAUUGCCUGGACACUGGUUACUAAAUCACCGAAGAACGGCAUCGAGUUCAAAUCACACAGUAGCUUGAUUAAUUUAGUUAGUAGAUUGGCUCGUUCAAUGUCGGAUUUGACGGAUGUUAACAUAUGUUUCUAUUAGGUAAAAAGAAUAUAUUCAAAUUACAAUAAAUCUUAUGAAAAUUAUUUCUAUUAAAUGGAAAAUAUAUAUGAAUAGUUGUCAUAGUCUCGGUCAUAGUUGCCAUAAAA